GACGAACGCUGGCGGCGUGCUUAACACAUGCAAGUCGAACGGAAAGGCCCUGCUUUUGUGGGGUGCUCGAGUGGCGAACGGGUGAGUAACACGUGAGUAACCUGCCCUUGACUUUGGGAUAACUUCAGGAAACUGGGGCUAAUACCGGAUAGGAGCUCCUGCUGCAUGGUGGGGGUUGGAAAGUUUCGGCGGUUGGGGAUGGACUCGCGGCUUAUCAGCUUGUUGGUGGGGUAGUGGCUUACCAAGGCUUUGACGGGUAGCCGGCAUGAGAGGGUGAACGACCACAAUGGGACUGAGAGUCGGCCCAGGCUCCUACGGGAGGCAGCAGUGGGGAAUAUUGCACAAUGGGCGGAAGCCUGAUGCAGCAACGCCGCGUGCGGGAUAACGGCCUUCGGGUUGUAAACCGCUUUCGCCUGUGACGAAGCGUGAGUGACGGUAAUGGGUAAAGAAGCACCGGCUAACUACGUG
rnacentral:rRNA from 1 species